rnacentral:lncRNA from 1 species
CUCAAAUUAGCCUUAGUCGGUCUUAGUCAUUUAUACAUGAUUCAUAUCCUACCAAUGGCAUGUUAAUAAGGCUCUUAAAAGAAAAAGCACUGAUGGGUUGUCCUAGAAGCAUAUUUUGUUAGACUCAUAAUGGUCUAUAUACAAGCAGUUACAUUUAUUACAUGUUUGAAACGGUGCAAAUUUUUAAUUUGAUUUAACGAAGCAUUGUAGCAAAGGAGAAGAAUAAUUGUGGUCUGAGGCCAGAACCACGAAAAUGAA